UACGUAGGGUGCAAGCGUUAAUCGGAAUUACUGGGCGUAAAGCGUGCGCAGGCGGUUUGCUAAGUCCGAUGUGAAAUCCCCGGGCUUAACCUGGGAACUGCAUUGGUGACUGGCAAGCUAGAGUGUGGCAGAGGGGGGUAGAAUUCCACGUGUAGCAGUGAAAUGCGUAGAGAUGUGGAGGAAUACCGAUGGCGAAGGCAGCUCUCUGGGACGGUACUGACACUGAGACGCGAAAGCGUGGGGAGCGAACAGG
rnacentral:rRNA from 1 species